rnacentral:rRNA from 1 species
AGAUUGAACGCUGGCGGCAUGCCUAACACAUGCAAGUCGAACGGGAGUAGCAAUACUCUAGUGGCGGACGGGUGAGGAAUACGUAGGAAUUUGCCCUUAAGUGGGGGAUAACCCGGGGAAACCCGGAUUAAUACCGCAUGACCUCGAAAGAGCAAAGUGGGGGAUCGCAAGACCUCACGCUUUUUGGAGAAGCCUACGUCGGAUUAGCUAGUUGGUGAGGUAAUGGCUCACCAAGGCGACGAUCCGUAACUGGUCUGAGAGGAUGAU